rnacentral:rRNA from 1 species
CCUACGGGAGGCAGCAGUGAGGAAUAUUGGUCAAUGGGCGGAAGCCUGAACCAGCCAAGUAGCGUGCAGGAUGACGGCCCUACGGGUUGUAAACUGCUUUUAUACGGGAAUAACGCGCCUUACGUGUAGGGCUUUGCAUGUACCGUAUGAAUAAGGACCGACUAAUUCCGUGCCAGCAGCCGCGGUAAUACGGAAGGUCCGGGCGUUAUCCGGAUUUAUUGGGUUUAAAGGGAGCGUAGGCCGACUGUCAAGCGUGAUGUGAAAUGUCCGGGCUCAACCCGGGCUUUGCGGCGGGAACUGGGGUGCUUGAGUCCGCGGAAAGCAGGCGGAAUUCGUGGUGUAGCGGUGAAAUGCUUAGAUAUGACGAAGAACCCCGAUUGCGAAGGCAGCUUGCUGCAGCGGAACUGACGCUGAUGCUCGAAAGCGCGGGUAUCGAACAGGAUUAGAUACCCUUGUAGUC